rnacentral:rRNA from 1 species
UACGUAGGGGGCAAGCGUUGUUCGGAAUUACUGGGCGUAAAGGGCGCGUAGGCGGCCCGAGCAAGUCGGGAGUGAAAGCCCGGGGCUCAACCCCGGAACGGCUCUCGAAACUGCGGGGCUCGAGUGCGGAAGAGGCAACUGGAAUUCCCAGUGUAGCGGUGAAAUGCGUAGAUAUUGGGAAGAACACCGGAGGCGAAGGCGGGUUGCUGGGCCGACACUGACGCUGAUGCGCGAAAGCGUGGGGAGCAAACAGG